GCGUGCUUACACAUGCAAGUCGAACGAUGAAGCCCUUCGGGGUGGAUUAGUGGCGAACGGGUGAGUAACACGUGGGCAAUCUGCCCUGCACUCUGGGACAAGCCCUGGAAACGGGGUCUAAUACCGGAUAUGACACGGGAUCGCAUGAUCUUCGUGUGGAAAGCUCCGGCGGUGCAGGAUGAGCCCGCGGCCUAUCAGCUAGUUGGUGAGGUAACGGCUCACCAAGGCGACGACGGGUAGCCGGCCUGAGAGGGCGACCGGCCACACUGGGACUGAGACACGGCCCAGACUCCUACGGGAGGCAGCAGUGGGGAAUAUUGCACAAUGGGCGAAAGCCUGAUGCAGCGACGCCGCGUGAGGGAUGACGGCCUUCGGGUUGUAAACCUCUUUCAGCAGGGAAGAAGCGAAAGUGACGGUACCUGCAGAAGAAGCGCCGGCUAACUACGUGCCAGCAGCCGCGGUAAUACGUAGGGCGCGAGCGUUGUCCGGAAUUAUUGGGCGUAAAGAGCUCGUAGGCGGCUUGUCACGUCGGUUGUGAAAGCCCGGGGGCUUAACCCCGGGUCUGCAGUCCAUACGGGCAGGCUAGAGUUCGGUAGGGGA
rnacentral:rRNA from 1 species